GGUUAACGGGGGAUUAGGGUUCGAUUCCGGAGAGGGAGCCUGAGAAACGGCUACCACAUCUAAGGAAGGCAGCAGGCGCGCAAAUUACCCAAUUCUAACAGUUUGAGAGAGGUAGUAACAAGAAAUAACAAUACAAGGCAAUUAAAAUGCUUUGUAAUUGGAAUGAUAGAAAUUUAAACCCUUUUUAAAGUAUCAAUUGGAGGGCAAGUCUGGUGCCAGCAGCCGCGGUAAUUCCAGCUCCAAUAGCGUAUAUUAAAAUUGUUGCAGUUAAAAAGCUCGUAGUUGAAGUUCUGCUAAAAGUAGCCGGUCUGCUUUUUAUAAAAGUGGUAUCUUGGUGUGUUUUUAGCAAUGAUGUCCUUUGAAGUGUUUUUUACUUUAUUGUAAUAAAACAUGUUCAGGACUUUUACUUUGAGAAAAUUAGAGUGUUUCUAGCAAGCUGAUGCUUUGAAUACUGCAGCAUGGAAUAAUAAGAUAGGAUUUUAGUUCUACAUUAUUGGUUUUAA
rnacentral:rRNA from 1 species